rnacentral:rRNA from 1 species
AGUGAACGCUGGCGGUAGGCCUAACACAUGCCAGUCGAACGGCAGCACAGUAAGAGCUUGCUCUUACGGGUGGCGAGUGGCGGACGGGUGAGGAAUACAUCGGAAUCUACUUUUUCGUGGGGGAUAACGUAGGGAAACUUACGCUAAUACCGCAUACGACCUACGGGUGAAAGCAGGGGAUCUUCGGACCUUGCGCGAUUGAAUGAGCCGAUGUCGGAUUAGCUAGUUGGCGGGGUAAAGGCCCACCAAGGCGACGAUCCGUAGCUGGUCUGAGAGGAUGAUCAGCCACACUGGAACUGAGACACGGUCCAGACUCCUACGGGAGGCAGCAGUGGGGAAUAUUGGACAAUGGGCGCAAGCCUGAUCCAGCCAUACCGCGUGGGUGAGGAAGGCCUUCGGGUUGUAAAGCCCUUUUGUUGGGAAAGAAAAGCAGCAGGUUAAUACCCCGCUGUUCUGACGGUACCCAAAGAAUAAGCACCGGCUAACUUCGUG